GUAUCCUCCUCCGCGCCGGCCCUGCGGCCAUUUUGGGCUUCGCCUCCACUCGCUCCAGCCUGCCUACUCAAGCCCUUCCAACCCAGCUUUGCUCCGGGACUUUGUGACUGUCCCCGUGUCUCCGGGAAAGUCCUUAUCUAUGGUGGAGAGGCCGCGCGCCUACUAGAACGUCUUCUUGGCCGCCAGGAUGGAAGUCGCUUCCGCCGCCGCCUCCUGCGCGGGCCGCUCUGCUCUGUGCUCUGCCUUCCGCAGCCGAAGCCGCUGCCCUCUGUGGCUUUUCCGCGGGCUCGGGGAUCCGCCACUGGGCAAGGCCGAGACUGUGUAGGCUUCCUUCGGCUCGCGUCCAAUCUCCAGCCGUCGAGCUCCGCGGACCUCCCCGACCGACUGCCAGGAAAAAAGGCCAUGGCGCCCGAGACUCACCGGCCGCGGAAACGGCCCGCCCCUUGGGCGAGCUCCUGGUUCCGGCUGCCCUUCUUCCCUCGGCGAUCGCCAGCCAGCUCCUCCAAGUUCCCGAUGCGUCCUGCCCCGGAACACUCCGGGGACACUACCCUGCUCUCCUCUGCCCGGCCCGAGGCUCAGACCAGCUAUUGGGCGAAAUUGCUUGCCCAGCUCCUUGCACCGCUCCCUAACUUGCUCCAGAAGCUGCUUAUCUGGAGCCAGCUUUUCGGUGGCAUGAUUCCGACCAGAUGGCUAGGUUUCGCCGGAGGCUACAGUGACCUGAGAGCCUUGAGGGGAGGAGAGGAAACAGCCGCCCCCACAAAACAAAAAUGUUUGAGUUCGCUGCGGCUCGGCUCCUCUGACGACUCGGAUGCCAGCCCCCGGGAUUGGCUGGAGGAGGGGAUCCCCUGGCAGUGCCCAUCCUCAGUCCUAGAAUUGGAACUUAAAGCCAAGGGGAGGCCUUUGGACCCGGCGGCACAUACUUUUCUGGAGCAGCAGCUGUGGGGGGUGGAACUGUUGCCCAGUGGCCUUCAAGCCCGUCUGUUCUCUGACCGAGAACUUGGCUCUUCGCCCUCGGGGCCUUUAAACAUUCAGCAAUUGAACGUAGUCUCCUAUGUGCUGAACCCCUCCUACCUGGACUGCCUGCCCCGGCUAGAGGUCAACUGUCAGAGCAGCCUUGCAACUGGCGAGCUAGUUGAUUUCCGGACACUAACCCCAGAGAGUAGCUGUCCCUCUGAGGAGCGUUGUCAUCCUCAGCCAUUGCGAGCUGAGAGCUCUGCAGCCUCGUGGCAGGGGUGUCCACCUCUUUCCAGAGAAGGCCUGCCCGAAAUCCACCAUCUUCGUAUGAAACGGCUGGAAUUCCUUCAGGCUAGGAAGGGCCAAGAAUUACCCACUCCUGACCAAGACAAUGGCUACCACAGCCUGGAGGAGGAGCACAGCCUUCUGCGGAUGGAUCUGAAACCCUGCACAGGUAACCCAACACAGCCUGUUGCCCCUGCUGUAGCCAUUCCUGAAACCACCCAGGAGCCCACUGAGGAAAAAAUAGAGUUGUUGAUUAAAGAGCUUCCAUUUGCUCUGCAAAAACCAGACCCUUCGGGAAGCUGGCCAUCUUGCGAGACACCUGUGGAAAAAGAGCCAGGAGAGGACCAAGUCAGUGUGGUUGACUCCUCAGACAUAGAGGAUGACCUUCCCGUUUCUGCCAGGCCAGCUUGUAGGAACAAAUUGAUAGAUUACAUUUUGGGAGGUGUAUCCAGUGACCUGGAAACAAGUUCUGAUUCCGAAGGUGAGGAUUGGGGUGAGGAAGCUGAGGACGAUGGUUUUGAUAGUGAUGGCUCACUGUCAGAAUCAGACCUUGAACAAGACUCUGAAGGGCUUCAUCUUUGGAACUCUUUCUACAGUGUAGAUCCUUAUAAUCCCCAAAACUUUACAGCAACCAUCCAGUCUGCUAGCAGAAUUGUUCCUGGAGGCCCUUCUGACUCAGGGAGGUCUGAUCUAGGAGGUUCUUUCCAGACUGAAAUCCUUCCUGAGACCCCUGACCAUAGUUCUGGGGAGGAAGAUGACUGGGAGUCUAGUGCAGAUGAAGCAGAGAGUCUCAAGCUGUGGAACUCUUUCUGUAAUUCCGAUGACCCCUACAACCUUUUAAAUUUUAAGGCUCCUUUUCAAACAUCAGGGAAGAACUGGAAAGGCUGUUGUGACUCAAAGAGACCGCAUGAGUCCUUGGAGGCCAUUUCUGAGUGUCACACCUUACUUUCUUGUAAGGUACAGCUGUUAGAGAGCCAAGAAAACAAACGUCCAGACUUGAUACAGCAUAAGGUACUUUCCGGAGGAAGAUGCGCACACAUGAAGAGAAAAAAGAUCAUUAUCCAGAAGGAGGAACCUAGGACCUUCACAGCAAAGGAACAGCUCAAUUGCAGACACUAUUGAACAAGAACAAAGGAUCCCACAGAGUGCCGGACUCUUCAGAACUUCAUCCGCCAAAAUGUUAGCUUGAUUGACUUUGGACUCAGCAAUGCUCUGCUGAUUCCACCAGAUGGCGUUACUUACCACGUCAGAGUGCUUGAUGGAUGACCUGUUACUCACAUUUUUCCCUGGGAGGUCCUUCCCUGUGUGUGAGCAAACUGGAAAGCAGCCCUUCCUGGCCCAUUGUGACUCCACCUUUUUGCGGUAACUACCCAGAAGUGGUGGGCUGUUCCUUAUAGAAAUUUGUAUAUGAACACAAGCAAGAGAUCCUGUUCUUCCCGAUGCAGGCAGAGAGAGAGUAAGGUGAUUGAGGAGACUGGAGGUGAGAUCUAAAAGUGGGUGGAAAGCUGUUUGCUGAAUUAUGUGCAUUAAGAGUUUUCCCAGCUACCUGGGCACCAGCGGCUCACGCCUGUAAUCCUAGCUACUCAGGAGGCAGAGAUCAGGAGGAUCUCAAUUCGAAGCCAGCCCAGAUAAACAGAUUGCGAAACCUUAUCUGGAUAAAAACCCUUCACAAAAAUAGGACUGGUGGAGUGGCUCAAGGUGAAGGCCCUGAGUUCAAGCCCCAGUACCACAAAAAAAAAAAAAAAGUUUUCCCAGCUAGUGCCUGGUCUCACUAUACGUUCAGCAUUCUGUUUAUUGCAUUCCUGUGCCCCUGGGCAGUCAUUUCAAUGGAAGAGGGUGCCGAAAUUGCUCCCCACAUGGAAAAUCAGUGUGUCUAAUGACAUAAUUACACAUGUGACAGGCCUGGAAGGAGGAAAAGGCCUAGAGAACCAAUGGGCUGGGUUUUCCUUCUGGGAGCUGUCAGCUAAAGCCAGCAGAUGUCUACCACUGCUCAAUGAACUGAAAUCAAAACCAACUGAGGGACCCUGAGCCACUUCCAGAUGUGCAGAAUGGAAGGUCACUGUGUGUUUGUAUAUGAUUUUCUUGUGCCUGUAGUGACAGGUGACUUUCAAUGGUCUUACUGUGCUGCUUUUCCUUUCUUUUGUUUCUGCUUGAUUUGACUGAGUAGGCAAGAGGGUAGAGGUUUUUUUUUUCUACCUCUAGGAAUUUACACGGGAGA